rnacentral:tRNA from 1 species
GGUGGGGAGGCUCAGUGGCAGAGCACAUGCAUGGCAGGCAGGAGGUCCUGGGUUCAGUUCUCAGUGCUUCCA